UAAACUAGGGCAGUUGUGUAAUUCAGAGGGCAUUUUCAUCUCCACCCUUUUCUUUAAUAAAUCACUCCUAAUGCUGGAUAAGCUGGGCUCCUGAUGGCGCUGUUCAUAUUCUCAAAGAAGUCCAGUUCAGCAGGAAAAGCUGGAGACGGAAGCCACAUUGAUCAGGCACUUCCUGCUCAGGCACUGCUUUCCAACAACUUCCGUGUACCCCUGGACUUCAACGGCAGCGCCGGCUUCUUCAGAAUCCAGCCUGUGACUCUGUGUCACUGAGUUCUCCCAAAGCAGUGUGAGCAGACGCAGUGUGUGCUGUUUUUAGGCCUGGCCCAUGAAAAUCUUCUGGGUGGAUCUGCCAUGCUUUCUCCUUCAGCCCCCUGGGUACAGACAUCAGUGAUGCCCUAAGGGGCUGGUGGAGCCACAAGGUGGAAAUGGCCUGUGCAUGAUGACAGGGACAGCCGCCCAGCUGACCCGAAUAUCCUCCCAGAACUGUUAAAUAGUGACGGUGAUGGACUUGCAGCCCCUGCUGAGCAGGAUGAACGUGGGCUCCGUGACACAUCCCGCUACUUGCAACAGUUUCUCCUUUCUAAUCUGGUGUGGUUUCCCCCCUUUCCUGAUUAAUAUUUGCCAAAAGCUUAUUGAUUUUAUCAGCCUCUUUAAGGGAACUGCUUUUGGGUUAAUGUCUCAA